rnacentral:antisense_RNA from 1 species
AGGUACGACAUUGCUCACAUUGCUUCCAGUGUUUACUUUAGCCAGCUUAAUGCUGGCUAUUUUUU